rnacentral:lncRNA from 1 species
CAACGCAGCAAGAGAGGCAAUCCGUGUGCAGGAGAUCUUCACCUCCUACUUCUUCAAAGAGGGUGCUGUUCCCUGACAACACCAUAGACGUCACUAUGCACAACCAAAAGCUCUUUUAAGAGCCAUUCACAUUGCAAUAAGAGUAUUCUUCCAUUUACUGAGCUAUGUCAACUGCAGUUAUUCAAGUCCCAAUUUCUCUCCCUUUGAUUUCUACUUCUCAGGUGAGGGUGCUGUUUAGGUAAGGGUGUGAUGUCUGUACAAGAACAAAAACAGGCUAUUUUAAAUCACCCAUAUUGAAAAAAUGUAGAACAAUUAGACACCCUAUAACCCACACCUACACACACAUGUAUCAAUCUGAUUGAUGGAUUGUGUUGUGCAGUAAACAGGCUCAGGUGUAUAACUGUGGCUCCUUCCACCUUCAAAGAAUAGGCAAGAGGGCCAACCAUGGAGAAUAGUAAGACACUUCAUUAUUUCUAUAACUACGCUGUAUUGUUUGUCCUCAUGUGUCCAUUCAUGUUUUUCAGCAUAAAGUACUCUGCAGCCACUUAGUGUGGUGUGGACACCAGGUUAUAUCAGCUGUGUCGGUGAACCCCUCCUGCAUCUGAACUGGCUACAUAGAGGGCACAGCAUGAUCAGAGAUAUGUUUUGAUGUGAGAGGAUGCCAACCCCCAGUCCCAUCAUCGCCACCUCACCUGCUUUUAAGAACCUUUGGGCCGACGAGAGACACUAUUAUGUAAUUGUGCUGAACUGAGAGAAUAUUUAUGUAGCACUGUGAUUCAUUAAUCAUGUGCUGCCUUCCCUACUCCUAUGUGCUUACCUCUUUCCCUUUCUGUCUUUUACACCUCUCUCACCACCUCCUCUUUCUUCCUCUGUUUUUAUAAUGCACAACAGAUGUGCAUUGAAGUACAGAUUAAACUUGUAUUUAUAACACUUGGAUAAUGAGCUUUUCAAUAAAGCGUUUCACAUUCUCUACUGGUUGAAAUGAAGUGUAAUGUGAUGAAAUACUCCACCUAUCCUGUGUUUAUCAGAUCAAUGCAGAUGAAGGGC